GAAGAUGCAGAGGAGCUUGCUCG
rnacentral:miRNA from 1 species